ensembl:lncRNA
CUUGAUGAAUGAAUCUGGUUCUGGACAGUUCAGAUCAGCUGUCCCACAAAAACAUUACAAUGUAGCUAUUUGUGCUUAGAUGCACAAGACUCGUGGUGGACGGUGUUGCUGGAGAUGAUUGGUUGAACUAGGCCAAUUAAGCCAGUGACAAUCACACCAAGAGUUUCCCUGUGACGAGGAUUUGAACUCCCAUGCACGAUGACACGGCUGUACCGCAGAAUGAGAUGGUGUAGUAUAAGUCCAGUCUAGUUUAGGGUGUGAAGGAUAGUACUUCGAGUGUCUGAAGACUUUUUUGUAUUGAUCGGUGGCGAAAACUCUUACAUCCAUUUUGAUUUAAUGUUGUAACGUCAGAAAAUGUCCAAGGGGGGUGAAUACUUCUAAAAGCCACUGUAUACAGUGUGUUAUUUUCAAGUUUGCAUGCACAAUAUGCUGUCUUUUGCUCUUUUUUACUUUCUCUUGUGUUUUUUGUCUGAAUUCAGUCAUCCUAAUUUUUCGGUAGUAAGAAAAAUCCUUCCCCCACGGUUCCAGUGUAAUGUGCAUUUAUGAGGUACUACAGACUAUAGCCCAC